ACUCCUACGGGAGGCAGCAGUGAGGAAUAUUGGUCAAUGGGCGGAAGCCUGAACCAGCCAUGCCGCGUGCGGGAAGGAGGCCCUAUGGGCUGUGAACCGCUUUUGCCUGGGGGCAAUAAGGGCGUCGCGCACGUCCGAUGAGAGUACCAGGCGAAUAAGCAUCGGCUAACUCCGUGCCAGCAGCCGCGGUAAUACGGGGGAUGCGAGC
rnacentral:rRNA from 1 species